UACGGAGGAUGCAAGCGUUAUCCGGAUUCAUUGGGUUUAAAGGGUGCGUAGGCGGACUAUUAAGUCAGUGGUGAAAGCCUGCAGCUUAACUGCAGAACUGCCAUUGAUACUGAUAGUCUUGAGUUUGGUUAAGGUAGGCGGAAUAUGUAAUGUAAGCGGUGAAAUGCUUAGAUAUUACACAGAACACCAAUUGCGAAGGCAGCUUACUAAUCCAUCAUUGACGCUGAGGCACGAAAGCGUGGGGAUCAAACAGGA
rnacentral:rRNA from 1 species